rnacentral:rRNA from 1 species
AACGGGUGAGGAACACGUGAAGAAUCUGCCCCUCAUUUUGGGAUAACUUCGGGAAACCGAGGCUAAUACCGAAUAUUGAAACAUAAGUGGCAUCACUGAGUUUGAAAGUUUUUCGAUGAGGGAUGACUUCGCGGCCUAUCAGCUAGUUGGUGAGGUAACGGCUCACCAAGGCAACGACGGGUAGCCGGCCUGAGAGGGCGAACGGCCACACUGGGACUGAGACACGGCCCAGACUCCUACGGGAGGCAGCAGUAGGGAAUAUUGCGCAAUGGAGGAAACUCUGACGCAGCGACGCCGCGUGCGGGAUGAAGGCCUUCGGGUUGUAAACCGCUUUCAGUAGGGAAGAAGCGAAAGUGACGGUACCUACAAAAGAAGCACCGGCUAACUAUGUGCCAGCAGCCGCGGUAAUACAUAGGGUGCAAGCGUUGUCCGGAAUUAUUGGGCGUAAAGAGCUCGUAGGUCGUUUGUUACGUCGGAUGUGAAAAUCUGAGGCUCAACCUCAGACCUGCAUUCGAUACGGGCAAACUAGAGUUUGGUAGGGGAGACUGGAAUUCCUGGUGUAGCGGUGGAAUGCGCAGAUAUCAGGAGGAACACCAACGGCGAAGGCAGGUCUCUGGGCCAAUACUGACACUGAGGAGCGAAAGCGCGGGGAGCGAACAGGAUUAGAUACCCUGGUAGUCCGCGCCGUAAACGGUGGGUACUAGUUGUGGGAACCUUCCACGGUUUCUGCGACGACGCUAACGCAUUAAGUACCCCGCCUGGGGAGUACGAUCGCAAGAUUAAAACUCAAAGGAAUUGACGGGGCCCCGCACAAGCAGCGGAGCAUGCGGCUCAAUUCGAUGCAACGCGAAGAACCUUACCAAGGCUUGACAUAUAGCGAAAAGUGGCAGAGAUGUCAUGUCCGCAAGGGCGCUAUACAGGUGGUGCAUGGUUGUCGUCAGCUCGUGUCGUGAGAUGUUGGGUUAAGUCCCGCAACGAGCGCAACCCUCGUUCUGUGUUACCAGCAUUUAGUUGGGGACUCACAGGAGACUGCCGGGGUUAACUCGGAGGAAGGUGGGGAUGACGUCAAAUCCUCAUGCCCCUUAUGUCUUGGGCUGCACGCAUGCUACAAUGGCCGGUACAGAGGGCUGCGAAACCGUAAGGUGGAGCGAAUCCCAAAAGCCGGUCUCAGUUCAGAUUGAGUCUAAC